GGAAAUUGAUUUGGAAGUGCUCUCAGCAACAACGCUUGUAAUGAGCGAGGGAGGCAGGGCUGGGCAGAGGGAGAAGCUGAGCCCUGAGGCAGUCAGAACAGAGAUCUCAGCCAGACCCACAGAAAGCUCUGGAAGAGGGGUGAUGCUUCAGUGUUGUCCAAGUUUAGGUAAGGGGCUGGCUUUUGUACUCCUGUUUGGAGCAGGAGUUGGGUGUGGGCUGCUCCCCAGUGUGUGUGUGUGUGUGUGUGUGUGUGUGUGUGUGUGUGACAUCGCACAAUGCAGCUCCCCUGGCUGAGGCCCAUUUCUGGCUGGAGGCUCUGCUGUGAGCUGUCAGCUGCCACCACUGCUAGCAGCUGGGGGAAUGAGUACCUCUGUCCUGAAGGGGGACCUGGACGGCACACCCACGGCCUCGGUGCCCUCAUGUCUAUUGCAGCAUUUCCUGUCCUCUUCUUACCUAACUUCGCAGAAGCUUCAGCACGGUUGACCACUCCCUCCUAGAAAAGAGCCCUUCCUUGGUUCCCAGGAGACCACACCUUUGUUUUUUUCUUCUAUCUCUCUGGCCGUUUCUCCUUAUUCCCUUUCAGAGUCUCCCCUUCCUCCUCCUGGGCACUCCAUUCUUCUGGUUCUUCUCUCCCAGUGAUCUCACACCGUCUCACCAGUUAAAAAAAAACAAUGCUCUUGGAUGCCAAUGUUUAUGUCUCUAGCCCAGAACUUUUUCUGAGCUUCUAGCUAAUACAUGCAGCUACCAGCCUGUGGGUACCUCACAGGCAUCUACUCGUCACAGCCACAGCAGAUGUCUUGGCUUCCCUGCUCCACUGUAACUGUUCCUUCCCUGCCUGCUCUUUUCCAUUUCAGAAAAUGGCACCACUUCCAAUCCAGCUUCUCAAAGCUGGAACCCAGGGCUGUAUCCUAGAUUUCUCUCUUUUACUCAGUUGCUUCUGCCUUCUCGAAUGCCUCCACUGCUCUCCUGCCCCCACCUCCAGCACACCCCACCAAGGAGAGCCUCCCACUCCCUUCCCAUUCCACACCUGACCCUUCCCACACCCUCCUCCACACGGCAGCCAGAUGUGGACCUGCCAUGACUCAGAGAGAAUCCAAGCUCCUCCACGCCAGGCACAGGUGUCUUCUCUGGGUGCCAUCCCCAUCCUGCCUACCUCUCCAACCUCAGCUUCUGCUGCUGUCUGCAGCAUCCUCGCUGUAUUUAAGGCUGCAGAGUCAUGGAAGGGACCUGAGUGUGGUGUCACCUCUUCCUGACGUCAGAAUGAAUUCAGUUAAUCUCAGGAACAUUCUACAGUGGGAGUCACCUGCUUUUGCCAAAGGGAGUUUGACUUUCAUGGCUCAGUAAUCGUAGGCAGGGGUAGGGGGAUCUUGGCAGGAAGGUGUCAGAGGAUGGUGGCCCUGGGCUGGUCAAUGGGCUGUACCAUUUAAGAGAGAGUCUGACUGCUGUCACCCACAGGCCCGUGACAGCCCACAUGAGCCUCCCUCCUGGCCUUUUUCUUUCUGCCCAGGAAAUUCUUAUAGUCAGCUUUUCCUUUUUCCUUUUUCUUGCUGUGGCUCCUAGUUAGACAAUUUAUCACAGAGCUGCAAGUGGACAUAAACAUUUUAUCCUGUACAUGUAGACACAGUCAGUGAGUUUAAUACUAUGGAGAACAUUGCUCAUUUGCCUCAAUUUACCUUUUUUAGAGAGAAAUAUCCCUGAGAUCAUUGCCAGUUAUAGGAGUAACAUGGUUAGAGGUGAGAGGUUCAUCUUUCGAAAUUUUCCAGGAAAACCGAGGUCUACUCAAGGAGUCACUGUCCACAGACACUUACCUGCAAUGCUCCAUAUCUAAAAAGCUCUGAAAACCAAGUGUAGUUUUUCCCUCCUUCCUUUGGUGGCAAAGCUAGAACUGAACUCAUUUGAUGGCAAGCCCUUACCUGGCCCGAAGGUAUUUGUGGCAAAUGUGACCCAAACUGAUGUAAAUCCGCUUAUAGUUUGAAUUUUUCCUUUUAGUGUGACUAUUCAAAACUUCUAUCUCAGAAACGUUAAUAUGCUUGAUUUGAUUGCAUCUGAAAUCUUUUUCACUUUAAGAGCUCGUUCUUAGUCUCCAAUUGCUCUGGGGAACCUGUGGUGUAGUUCCAAGUCGAGUCUGAAGGCCUGAGGACCAGGAGAGCUGAUGGUGUAAGUUCCACUCCACGCGCAGGAGGAAAACCAAUGUCCUAGCUUGAAAAAAGGCAGAGGGAAUGAAUUCUCUUUUAGUGAAUUCUCUCUUUGUUCUAUUCAAGCCUCCGAUGGAUUAGACGAGGCCCCCCCACAUUGUGGAGGGCGACUUGCUUUACUCCGUCUUCGGAAUCGAAUGUUCAUCUCAUCCGGAAACAUCCUCACAGACACGCCCAGAAUAGCGUUGAGCCAAAUAUCUGGGCACCUCCUGUCCCAGUCCAGUUGACACAUAAAAGUCACCAUCACAUUCGUCUCCCUUCACUAAAACAGAAGCCCUAUGAAGGCAGGGACUCUAUCCGUUUCCUUCUCUGUGGUGUCCCCAGCACCUAGAAUUCCACCUGGCUCCAAGUGGCUGCUUAGUAACUGGUUCUUGAGCGAAUGGAUGAAACUAACCCAUCUCUCCCUGGAUUGAGGGUCUGGAGGCCCGGGAUGGUGCAUGUUCAGUGGGUUUGUGCCUAAGCUGGGACUCAACCCAGGGCGCUGUUAUCUAUUGCUGCAUCAAACUUAAUAGCUUCAAAUGACGUUUAUUAUGUCAUAGUUUCUGCAGGUCAGGAAUCAGGCGCAGCUUAGCUGGCCCUGGCCUCUCUGUUCAAGGUCUCUCGCGGUGUCGGCCAGGGCUGCAGUCCACUGGGGGCAAAUCCACUUUUAAGUUCACGUGGUUGUUGGCCGAAUUCUGUUCCUUUAGGGUUGUUAGAUUGAGGACCUCAAUUCUGUGCUGCCUGUUGGCUGGAGGCGGCCUCAGGUCCUUGCCACGUGAGCCUUUCCGCUGUGGGAGGUUGCUUCCUCCAAGGGUGCCAGCUGAGAAGGCAGCGGAGAGAGCCUGCUAGCAAGAUGGAAUCAUAAUCAUCCGUAACCGAAAUACGGAAGCAGCAUCCAUCACCUUCGUCACAUUCAAUUGAGUCAUAGGUACUGUCCACACUCAGAAGGAGGGGAUUACUCAAAGCUAUGAAGACUAAGAGAUGGGGAGCAGGUGGCCAUCUCAUCUUUGAGUCUGCCUGUCACAGGUGGGUAGGCGCACAGACUCUGGAGCCAGGGUUCAAAUCCCUGCUCUGUCACUUCUUUCCUGUGUGAUCUUAGGUAAGUUACUUAACCUCUCUGUACUUUAGCUUCAACCUUUGAAAAAUUAGGCAAAUAAUAGUAUCUGCUUCAUAAGGUUGUUGUGGGAAUUAAAUAAGGAUACAGAAGUGCUUAGAACAGGGCCUGCACACGGAAGAGCUAAGUAACAAUUGGCUGUUACUCCUGCUCCUUUGGGCAGGCGUGCAGCGUAACCCUUAAAGGAAGUGCAGUGAAAGCUGCCCCGUGUUUCCUCCUUCUGUGGGAUUGUUCAGUCCAAUCUAGACCCUGUUCAUGCCACAAUUUCUCCUGCUUAGAGACUUUACCCCCAUAGGUUGAACUUUCUGAGAAUUUUUGAGUCAUAAACCAAGGGCAAUAAAUCUGGGAUCAUCAAAUGCCAGCUCGUGGGUUAGUGGCUGCUUAACGAAGAGUUCUGAUGGGCGUGGAAACAGAGGCGUGGUGUGGUGUCUGAUGGCCCAGAUCUGAUCGUUGAGGUAACCAGGAGACGGAACGUGAACUUGACUCAGGAAGAAAAUUACAUUGAGUUUCUGCUGCAUGAGACAGACUUCUUCUUUUGUUUUUCAAGGAAGUGAACUGGCUGGAGCAUGGUCUGAACUCGGGAGCUCAAGAUACAGACCGCAAGCUGUCUGUCCUUAAGGUAAGUCCCUUGCUGAGGAAAGUGAGGUAUCAGGUUCCCAUAAAAGAAGUGGGCCGACCCCCUGCUCUCCCUUCUUCCCAUUUUAAGCACUAAGAAGAGGUUAUAACUGGUCAGCGGGAAGCGAGACAGCCUUUCACUGCUGUGUGAGUUUCCUGGCUGCCUGAACACAUUACCGCAAGCAGAGUGGUUUGAAACAGAAAUGCAUCCUCUGACACAUCUGGAGACUAGAAGUCUGAAAUCAAGGUGUGGCAGGGCCACGCUCCUUCCAAAGGUUCUGGGAAGGAUUCUUCCUUGCCUCUCCCUAGUUUCUGAUGGUGGCCCACCAUCCUUGGCAUUUCUUGGCUUGUAGACACAUCACCCCAAUCUCUGCCUCCAUCUUCACAUGGCCUGCUCCCUGUGUGUGUCCCUGUGUCUCUUCUUAUCAGGACACCGGUCAAUGUAUUAGGGUCCACCUUACUGUAGUUUGACCUUAUCUUGAGUUAACUAAUUACAUUUGCCAACAUGCUAUUUUCAAAUAAGACCACAUUCUGAGGUUUGGGGUAGAUGUGGAUUUUGGGGUGACACUAUUCAUCCCUGUACAGCUACUAAACAUUUUCAUGUAUUUAUCUUCACUAGUUUCAAAUUACCUCUCAUUAUAGCACUGAAGUCCUCAGAAAUCUGGAGCCACGGACAACUUAUUGUGUUCCAGUCCUAGGAUUUAUUCUUGAUUAGGACAAAGUCAUGGAAUGGAGUGAGCCUGUCUAUGAGCAAACAACCGAUGGUGAUGAGUCCUGAGAUGCACCACCUGUCACUGCUUCCUUUAGGCUUUUUAAACAGCUGUGUAGACUCCCAAUGGGUGUUUGAGUUGGAAGCCUCCUUAGACAUCAUUGCGUCCAGCUCAAACUCCAACCCGGUUCACCCCUGGCUGAUCGGCUUCAUGCUGGGAAGGAGACCACCACCUUCUGAGCCAGCUCGUCCGCUUGUAGACCCAAGGGAUUGAUGGACACGUCUCUGUCCACGGUGCCGAAGUCUCCCUCGGUGCGCCCACCUCCGCUGGUCUGCCUUCUCAUCAGUCUUCCACAAGACAGCCCGGGAAAUCUUCAGCCCCCGACCCCCGAUUGUAUUCCCAGUUCCUUUAAAAAAAAAAAAAACAAAACUCCCUAUCCUGUCACCCUGCUCACAAUGUGCACAGGUUUUCAGGGUGGUACCAAGACUUAUAUAUAAUUUUCCAUAUAUGGUCUGACACAGGCCCUGGACACUUAGUAUUUCUCUUCCUUUUUGUUUCAAACUUUUUAUUUUGAAAUAACGUGAAACUGAUAGGGAAGUUGUAGAAACCAUACAAAGAACUCCUCUGUGCUCUUAACCCAGGUGCACUGAUUGGUACUUGGUGUUUUUAGAAAACAGGACGGGCCCGUGACAAGGCUGUGAGGGUUCAGCAGAUCGUCUGUGUGGCCUGUGCACUGGGAUUCAGGGAAUGCGGUCGCAAGUUGCAUAACUUUUGGGGGACCUGUCACACACAGUUACCAUGGGCUGGGUUUGACAUUAAACACAUUCUCCAGCUCAUUUGCAAUUCUUGCCUUCUUCCUUCUGGCACUCACCCAUGAGAAACCUCGGUUCAAGGAGAAACCUCUGCCUCUGCAGCUGGUCGCCCACAUCUUCCUCAAUAUAAUGGGGCUCCAGAGACUCCACAGGCCGCGGAAUCCACCCGGAUGACCAGCGGCGCACAGUCAUGGCCCUUGUCACACGCCCGGGAUUCAGCAGACAACCGACUCGGUAACGUGCUGAGCAGUGUCCGGCUCACUGUCCGUGCUACAGAACUCUUAGCUGCUAUUACUCUAUUACCAUGACGAGCCAGACGCAUCCGCGGGGUGCAGAACUUGACAGGCCUCCUGUCCCUCCACAUUCCGGGAGGAAGAGCUCAACUGGGGAAGAGAAUCAAUCUCUCCUUUGUCCUAAGACUAGCCCCAGACCAGAGUAAGAUCUCUGGGGGCAUUGAGAACUGAAAACGUGCUGAGUGCUCCCUUACAACGUUAUUAAAAAGAAUUUAAAAAUGCUGAACUGGAAGAUGAAUACAAGAAAGAUCAAUAAACUCUUGACUUUUCC
rnacentral:lncRNA from 1 species